rnacentral:rRNA from 1 species
GAUGAACGCUAGCGGCAGGCUUAACACAUGCAAGUCGAGGGGUAUUUAUCUUCGGAUAGAGAGACCGGCGCACGGGUGCGUAACGCGUAUGCAAUCUACCUUUUACAGAGGGAUAGCCCAGAGAAAUUUGGAUUAAUACCUCAUAGUAUAUAGACUCGGCAUCGAGAUUAUAUUAAAGUCACAACGGUAAAAGAUGAGCAUGCGUCCCAUUAGCUAGUUGGUAAGGUAACGGCUUACCAAGGCUACGAUGGGUAGGGGUCCUGAGAGGGAGAUCCCCCACACUGGUACUGAGACGCGGACCAGACUCCUACGGGAGGCAGCAGUGAGGAAUAUUGGACAAUGGGCGCAAGCCUGAUCCAGCCAUGCCGCGUGCAGGAUGACGGUCCUAUGGAUUGUAAACUGCUUUUAUACGAGAAGAAACACUGCUACGUGUAGCAGCUUGACGGUAUCGUAAGAAUAAGGAUCGGCUAACUCCGUG